rnacentral:miRNA from 1 species
UUUGCUUCUCCUUUCCUUGUGCU